UUCCGGGUUCACCCGUCCACAGUCAAGUCGUCCAAUCCAUCCCAGCAUGGACAAUGGACAUUAAAUGAUGAUGAUGAUGAUGAUGAUGA